UUAACGCUAGCGGCAGGCAUAAUACAUGCAAGUUGAACGGCAGCACAGGUAGCAAUACUGGGUGGCGAGUGGCGCACGGGUGCGUAACACGUAUGCAACCUACCCUAUACAGGCGAAUAACCUUUAGAAAUGAGGGCUAAUACGCCGUAGUAUUACAGAUGGGCAUCUAUUUGUAAUUAAAGAUUUAUCGGUAUAGGAUGGGCAUGCGUCCCAUUAGUUAGUUGGUAAGGUAACGGCUUACCAAGACGAUGAUGGGUAGGGGAUCUGAGAGGACUUACCCCCACACUGGUACUGAGACACGGACCAGACUCCUACGGGAGGCAGCAGUAAGGAAUAUUGGGCAAUGGCCGCGAGGCUGACCCAGCCAUGCCGCGUGCAGGAAGACGGCCUUAUGGGUUGUAAACUGCUUUUAUACGGGAAUAAUAGAGUGUACGCGUACAUUUAUGCAAGUAUCGUAUGAAUAAGCAUCGGCUAACUCCGUG
rnacentral:rRNA from 1 species